rnacentral:rRNA from 1 species
UGGGGAAUAUUGCACAAUGGGGGAAACCCUGAUGCAGCGACGCCGCGUGAGCGAUGAAGGCUUUCGAGUCGUAAAGCUCUGUCCUAUGGGAAGAUAAUGACGGUACCAUAGAAGAAAGCCCCGGCUAAUUACGUGCCAGCAGCCGCGGUAAUACGUAAGGGGCGAGCGUUGUCCGGAAUUAUUGGGCGUAAAGAGUGCGUAGGCGGCAAAUUAAGUCAGAUGUGAAAACUAAGGGCUCAACCCAUAGAUUGCAUCUGAACUGAUAUGCUUGAGUCAAGGAGAGGAAAGUGGAAUUCCUAGUGUAGCGGUGGAAUGCGUAGAUAUUAGGAGGAAUACCGGUGGCGAAGGCGACUUUCUGGACUUGAACUGACGCUGAGGCACGAAAGCGUGGGGAGCAAACAGG